rfam:Schistosoma mansoni strain Puerto Rico chromosome 3, complete genome
AUUCGGCUGUCGAAUCCCAAAUAGGACGAAACGAGCGUCAAAUUGGAU